GACCAGUCCAUCCCUCUCUUUCUGCCUGUGAGAGUGCCCUUGGGGGACUGAAGCAGUGUGAGCUGGAAGGACAGACCUGAGCAGCCCUGUGCGGGAGGAGGUGCCCUGCUUGCUAAUUGCCAAGCAGUGGCAGCCUCUCCACACUUGGACUUUGAGGCAUGGGAUGACAGUGGCACAGUGUUGGUACCUGGGAGAGGACAUGGGAGCCAGGGCCCAGAUCCUCCUUUGCCACUGACUGCUUUCUGGUAUGUGUUGAAGCUUGCUUGGGAUCAGUCUGGGGCAGGCAGCAAAGGAACCUCCUUUCUGGAGGGGACUAGUUGAAACUCACGUAUUGGGUUUGCUUUGGUGGAACAAAUUCAUCUGCAGGGAUGUUCAG
rnacentral:lncRNA from 1 species